AGGAUUAUUAUGUAAAAGCCCAUCAAUGCACUACUUCUAAGAGUAAAGUCCCGCGCCGUUGCACGAGCACAACCUCCAACCGCCGUCGCGGCAGCCACUGGAGGCCCGUCCGGCGCCACUGGUUGCCGCGCCAACCACCAGGCCGCCGCCGUGCGUUGCAGUCGCACCAUUUUCCAGUGAUUGUUGUUGUUGUUGUUGUUAUGGCGGUGGUGGGGAAGGAAAAGCUUCAGGAAGAAUCUGUAAUCCGCCGCUUCUACCAGAUUAUUCUUAGUUGGGACUACUUUGCUCUCCUCAAGAAAUCCAAGAAGCAGAAAAACAACGAGAAGAAAGGGACUGUGGUGCCGACACUCGUGAAGGUGAAGCAACGCUACAAAGAUGUUGAUGAUUACAUUGCCACAUACGAGUCCCUCGUCUUUGAAGAAGCCAAAUCCCAGAUCAUUUAGGAGAAAGAGGAGGAAGAGGUUACUGAAUGGAAAUUGGGGGUGGUUAAAAGUUGGAGUGAGGCGGAUGACUUUCACUUUAUAGAAUUUCCGUGUGAAAUAAACGAGGGAGAAUCAAUAUCACAAAAUGAUCUUUUGCUGCUUUCAAAAGAGAAGUUUUUGAAUGGCAAAAGAUUACCUACUGUUUAUGCAUUUGCCUUGGUGGAACAUGUGCGGAAAUUUUUUGAAACAAGGCUUCUUCGAGUUAGACUCUAUCUUGCUGGAGAGUUCUCAAAUUUCAAUACAGAUAAUGUACAAUCUUGCCCCAGACUGUUUAACAUGCGCUCUCAUAUAUGCGAGACAGAGAGACAGUUAUAUUUUAUGAAGCUGUGCAGCUUAUCUACCAUUGCUCGUGAGUAUUUGGCUGUACGAACUAUAAGCUGUCUCCCAUACAAGGAUUUAAUAUUAAAUGCAGUUGGAGAGAAUUUUGGCACAGAAGCCGAGGGUUGGAAAAUCCCAAUCCCUUUGAGGGAAUAUGUUGAAAGUGCUUUCAAUCAGUACCAACGUGAGGCCAUAACAGCUGGUCUAUCAUCAAAAGUCUUUGUCCUGAUACAGGGGCCCCCAGGGACUGGGAAGACUCAGACCAUACUUGGGAUUCUAAGUACCAUUUUGCAUGCUACUCCUACAAGAAUGCAUUCAAAGACCUAUGAGCUAAGUCAGGGACCACAAUUACCUAUUGAGGAGAAACAAAGACAUUGGGCACUAGCGUCUCCAUGGUUUAAUGGUAUUAAUCCAAGGGAUAGUUUGAUGCCGAAAGAUGGUGAUGAUGGUUUUUUCCAACUACUGGAAAUGAACUAAAACCUGAAGCUCUAACUUCAAAUCGUAAGUAUCGUGUAAGAGUGCUAGUAUGCGCCCCAUCAAACUCUGCCCUUGAUGAGAUUGUGUUGAGGGUUUUCAAUGGAGGCAUACAUGAUGAAAAUGAUCGUGUUUAUUGCCCUAAAAUUGUGCGGAUUGGUCUCAAAGCACAUCAUUCUAUCAAGGCUGUUUCCCUGGAUGAACUUAUGAAACAAAAACGUGCCAGUACUAAUAAAUCAUCUACUAAUAAACAGAGUAAUGGUCCUGCAGGAAGUAAUGAUGAUAGUCUCCGGGCUGCAAUUUUAGAUGAGGCCACAAUUGUCUUCUCGACUCUCAGCUUUAGUGGUUCCCAUGUUUUCAGUAAACUAAACCGCAGCUUUGAUGUUGUGAUUAUAGAUGAAGCAGCACAAGCUGUGGAGCCUGCAACUCUUGUUCCUUUAGCCAAUCAAUGCAAAAAAGUUUUUCUGGUUGGUGAUCCUGCUCAACUUCCAGCUACUGUAAUUUCUGACGUUGCUAAGAAUCAUGGAUAUGGUAUUGAAGACUCAAUACCUAAUGCAUCCAGAGAUGUGUGUUUUUUCCCAACACUUGUGUUCCUUUCUUCUAUUACUUUUAUCUUCCUUUUGAAUUUCCUGUCAAUUUUUCUUAGUGGGUUUUAUCAUGUUAUGAUCAAACAGAUAAGAAGCUUUCCCUCUAGAGAGUUUUAUGAAGACUCCUUGGAAGAUGGGGAUGAAGUCAAAUCACGGGCAAUACACGCAUGGCAUGAUUACCGCUGCUUUGGCCCCUUCUGCUUCUUUGACAUUCAUGAGGGAAAAGAGGCUCGGCCACCUGGGAGUGGCUCAUGGAUAAAUGUUGAGGAAGUUGACUUUGUUCUAUUCUUGUAUCAAAAACUUAUUUCACUUUAUCCGACACUGAAGUCUGGUAACCAAGUUGCAAUUAUAUCACCCUAUAGUCAACAGGUCAAGCUCUUCCAAAAACGUUUUGAAGAUACCUUUGGAAUGUCAGCUGAGAAAAUAGUGGAUAUAUGUACUGUUGAUGGUUGCCAGGGACGGGAAAAGGACAUUGCAAUAUUUUCAUGUGUCAGGGCGAGCAAAGAUAAAGGUAUAGGGUUUGUGGAGGAUAUCCGGCGAAUGAAAGUUGGGAUCACUAGAGCAAAGUCUGCAGUGUUGGUGGUUGGAUCUGCCUCAACAUUAAGGAGGAGUGAACAAUGGAACAAGCUAGUGGAAAAUGCAGAGAAAAGGAACUGUUUCUUCAAAGUUUCACAACCAUAUUCCUCAUUCUUCAGUGAUGAGAGUCUGACAUCCUUGCAAACAAAGGUGGCUGAACCAUCUCAGGUGACUGGACCUGUUGAUACAUUAGAUAAUGAUGUGCAGUCUGACAAUGCUGCAGCAUUUGAUGUUCAAGCACAAGCUGAGGACAAUGACGAUGGAGAAGGCGAUGUCGGCAUGAAUGAUGCGUGUUUUGAUGACGAUUAGGUUUAGAUAUAUGUUUCACAUGAUUUGAUCUGCGUCCAGUACAAUGCCUCCUGCUGUAGCUUCCGCGUUUUAUUGUUGAUUGGACCUGGAAAUCUUGUUUUCCAUGCAUCUUUGACAUCUGCCCAAACACACACUCAAUUGUUAAAUAGAUGUGUAGUUGAGCAAACUGAUGAUAAAAUUUAUGUUGUUUUUCCUAUAAGGAGGACAAGAAAAAUGUAACCCGCACUAGCCUGAAUACUGAGAAAUGAUAGUCUGUCAUAUUUAAUGCAGAAAAGGGUAUCUGAAAUUUUGAUCACCAAAA